rnacentral:lncRNA from 1 species
AUAUAUAUAUAUAAUAAAAAAUCUUAAAGAAAUAUCAAAGAAAUCUUAAAGAAGUAUUAAAUAUAGAAAUUUUAAAUAAAUCCUAAUAAAAUCCUAAUACGAUUUUAAACAAAUUCAAAUGAAAUCCUAAAUCAAUCUUAAUUAAAUUCUAAACAAAUUCUAAAUCAACCUUAAUAAAAUCCUAAACAAAUUCUAAAUCAAUCCUAAUCAAAUCUUAAUAUAAUCCUAAAUCAAUCCUAAUUAAAUUCUAAAUCCUAAUCAAAU